rnacentral:rRNA from 1 species
GUGAGUCAUCGAAUCUUUGAACGCACCUUGCGCUCCUUGGUAUUCUGAGGAGCAUGCCUGUUUGAGUGUCAUUAAUAUAUCAACCUUCAGCGUUUGCACGUUGAGUGUUGGAUGUGGGGGUUAUCCUUUUGCUGGACUCUUUCUGAGGUCAGCUCCCCUAAAAUGCAUUAGCAAAACAAUUUGUUUACCGUUCAUUGGUGUGAUAACUAUCUACGCUAUUGACGUGAAGCAGGUUUUAGCUUUCUAACAGUCCAUUUAACUUGGACAAAUUUUAUUAAUGUGACCUCAAAUCAGGUAGGAUUACCCGCUGAACUUAAGCAUAUCAAUAAGCGGAGG